GACGAACCGUACGAACGUUAUUCGGAAUUACUGGGCUUAAAGGGUGCGUAGGCUGUGCAGAAAGUUGGGUGUGAAAUCCCUUAGCUUAACUGAGGAACUGCGCCCAAAACUACUGUGCUAGAGGAAGACAGGGGUAAGCGGAACUUACGGUGGAGCGGUGAAAUGUGUUGAUAUCGUAAGGAACACCGGUGGCGAAGGCGGCUUACUGGGUCUUUUCUGACGCUGAGGCACGAAAGCUAGGGGAGCAAACGGG
rnacentral:rRNA from 1 species